UCGGCUUAGAGUUUGAUCCUGGCUCAGGAUGAACGCUGGCGGCGUGCCUAAUACAUGCAAGUCGAACGAAACUUCUUUAUCACCGAGUGCUUGCACUCACCGAUGAAGAGUUGAGUGGCGAACGGGUGAGUAACACGUGGGCAACCUGCCCAAAAGAGGGGGAUAACACUUGGAAACAGGUGCUAAUACCGCAUAACCAUAGUUACCGCAUGGUAACUAUGUAAAAGGUGGCUAUGCUACCGCUUUUGGAUGGGCCCGCGGCGCAUUAGCUAGUUGGUGAGGUAAAGGCUUACCAAGGCAAUGAUGCGUAGCCGAACUGAGAGGUUGAUCGGCCACAUUGGGACUGAGACACGGCCCAAACUCCUACGGGAGGCAGCAGUAGGGAAUCUUCCACAAUGGGCGAAAGCCUGAUGGAGCAACGCCGCGUGGGUGAAGAAGGUCUUCGGAUCGUAAAACCCUGUUGUUAGAGAAGAAAGUGCGUGAGAGUAACUGUUCACGUUUCGACGGUAUCUAACCAGAAAGCCACGGCUAACUACGUGCCAGCAGCCGCGGUAAUACGUAGGUGGCAAGCGUUAUCCGGAUUUAUUGGGCGUAAAGGGAACGCAGGCGGUCUUUUAAGUCUGAUGUGAAAGCCUUCGGCUUAACCGGAGUAGUGCAUUGGAAACUGGGAGACUUGAGUGCAGAAGAGGAGAGUGGAACUCCAUGUGUAGCGGUGAAAUGCGUAGAUAUAUGGAAGAACACCGGUGGCGAAAGCGGCUCUCUGGUCUGUAACUGACGCUGAGGUUCGAAAGCGUGGGGAGCAAACAGGA
rnacentral:rRNA from 1 species